CAUGCGGGAGGUGUUAAGAUCCAAAGCAGGGCUCCAAAAUGGCGGUGCUGGUGGCAAGGUCCUAAACAGAAGGACUCUGACUGGGUAAACAAGAGGAUUAUUACUGGGUAAACAGAAGCCCACACUCGGCAUUCCUCGGGAAUCUUGUGCAGCUCCCACAGACUCAGCUAGGGAUGGGGAAUGAUCAAGUCACCUUGAACACUGACAUCCUGGGUCCUACCAUCUGGACACAAAAUUUGCAGACUUCCUGAAGAAGCCCACAGAGUGCUUUGCAACCACGCCGAAUAAGCAAAUGAUCUCCUGAGACCCUAGCAACUGCAUAGGGACCCUAAAGAGAUUCAGGCAGAAAGAGCAAAGGUUGACUGGCCCUCAACCCAGCUCAGCUUCUAAAGCUCCCAGAUCCACUAUAAAAGCCCCGGGGAAAGCCGUAUCCCUCACUGAUGCUGGAAUUAAGAAAAUGAAGAGUUAACUGCCCCUAUCUCCUGCUUGUGGAUUAAAUGGAAGCUCUCAGCUAUAUCUCCAGCACCGUGCCUGCCUGCCAUCAUACUCCACACCAUAACCAUGGACUCUUUAACUCUCUGAAACCUUGA